rnacentral:rRNA from 1 species
AUGCUCGCCUUGUUGAUGCUGGACACGACCUGCCCGCUGGCUUGGCGACGCUUGUUGUGCCCUGCCUCGAGCUCCCAGCAACGCUCUUCUGCUCGAAGCAGCCGGCGCUCCUGCCGCUCACAUCCAUGCAACCUCCUUCUGAAGCACCCAUCGGCCAUCGCAUCACCAAGGCCAAGCCCUCUAGCAACCCGUCGGAAGACUUUGGCAGGCAUGAGGAUCUCCAAGGAAGGCGGCAUCUCUCUGCAACGGAUCAGGCGCCCUUCCAACCGCACGCCGGCUGCCCCGGUUGCAAAGGUGGCUGAGCGCCUUGUUUGUUGCAGCCUGGGCAUAACCAAAGAUGGUGAAGAUGUCACCGCUCCGACCCUAGACGCGUUCACGGAGAGAUUCAAGAAGUAG